rnacentral:rRNA from 1 species
AGACUGCGAAGUGGAGCAAAUCCCUAAAAGCCAUCUCAGUUCGGAUUGCAGGCUGCAACUCGCCUGCAUGAAGCUGGAAUUGCUAGUAAUCGCGGAUCAGAAUGCCGCGGUGAAUACGUUCCCGGGUCAUGUACACACCGCCCGUCACACCAUGGGAGUCAGCAACGCCCGAAGCCGGUGACCCAACCUUAGGGAGGGAGCCGUCGAAGGCGGGGCGGAUAACUGGGGUGAAGUCGUAACAAGGUAAC